rnacentral:rRNA from 1 species
GCUAAACUUCUAGCCUCACUAAUAACCAUUUAAAUUCAUUAAUUUAUUCUAUUAUUUUAAAACAUUUUCUUAAUUAAGUAAAGGUGAUAAAAAAAUUUCUUAGAGCAAUAUAAAUAGUACCGUAAGGGAAUGAUGAAAUAAAAAUGAAACAACUUUUAAGCAUAAAAAAGUAGAGCUUUCCCCUUGUACCUUUUGCAUCAUGGUUUAACUAGUCCUCUUAGGCAAAAAGACUUUUAGUCUAAAUUCCCGAACCUGGGCGAUCUACUUUAAGACAGCUUUUUAGAGCCAACCCGUCUCUGUUGCAAAAGAGUGGGAAGAUCUUAUAGUAGCGGUGACAGACCAAGCGAGCCCAGUGAUAGCUGGUUGCUUUUUAAAAGGAUUUUAGUCCAACUUAAAGUCACUUAUAUCUAAAAAAAUUCGACUUUAAAGUAAUUCAAAUAAGGUUCAGCCUGUUUGAAAAAGGAUACAACCUCUACCAUCGGGUUACCAUGCCUUAUAAAAACAAAGUAGGCUUAAAAGCAGCCACCUUAAAAAGCGUCAUAGCUUAAUCUAAUUUUUGCAUAAUCCCUAUACCUCCUCUUAACCCCUCAUCACCAAAAAGCAACUUCAUACCCCUAUGAAAAAUUUUAUGUUAAAACUAGUAACAAGAAGCACCCCUUCUCUUAAAUGUACAUGUAACCCAACACGGACCCUCCCUUGGCAACUAACGUCCAUAAACCUAUAGUACCCCCCCCCCCCAAACCCCACCAACACCAACCUUAACCUGACACAAGAACAUUAAAAGAAAGAUUAAAAGAUAAAGAAGGAACUCGGCAAAUAUUAGCCUCGCCUGUUUACCAAAAACAUCGCCUCCUGAUUAACUAUAAGAGGUCAAGCCUGCCCAGUGACAUUGUUCAACGGCCGCGGUAUCCUAACCGUGCGAAGGUAGCGUAAUCACUUGUUCUUUAAAUGAGGACUAGUAUGAACGGCUUCACGAAGGCUAUACUGUCUCCUUUAUCCAAUCAGUUAAACUAAUCUCCCCGUGAAGAAGCGGGGAUUUACCUAUAAGACGAGAAGACCCUAUGGAGCUUUAAACAAUUUAAAACAUUUGAACUUUACACUACCACUUCCAGAAAUCUUCACUAAGCCCAUCAUUUUGUUUUAAGUUUUAGGUUGGGGUGACCACGGAGAAUAGUUUAUCCUCCACGUAGAAAGAAACUCCUUUUCUAAGCAAAAAGCCACAUCUUUAUGCAUCAAAAUAUUGACUUAAAUUGACCCAAUUAAUUGAUCAACGAACCAAGUUACCCUAGGGAUAACAGCGCAAUCCGCUUUAAGAGCUCCUAUCGACAAGCGGGCUUACGACCUCGAUGUUGGAUCAGGACAUCCCAGUGGUGCAGCAGCUACUAAAGGUUCGUUUGUUCAACGAUUAAAGUCCUACGUGAUCUGAGUUCAGACCGGAGCAAUCCAGGUCAGUUUCUAUCUAUAAAGAGUUUUUCCUAGUACGAAAGGACCGGAAAAACAUGGCCAAUGCCAUUAACACUAAGCCAUCCUCUUCAAAAUUUAUGUUUAAAACUUAAUAACCAAGAACCUGAUAUCAAUUUUAAGACCAAAAAUCUUAA